rnacentral:rRNA from 1 species
GACGAACGCUGGCGGCGUGCCUAAUACAUGCAAGUAGAACGCUGAAGCUUGGUGCUUGCACCGAGCGGAUGAGUUGCGAACGGGUGAGUAACGCGUAGGUAACCUGCCUGGUAGCGGGGGAUAACUAUUGGAAACGAUAGCUAAUACCGCAUAACAGUAGAUGUUGCAUGACAUUUGCUUAAAAGGUGCAAUUGCAUCACUACCAGAUGGACCUGCGUUGUAUUAGCUAGUUGGUGGGGUAACGGCUCACCAAGGCGACGAUACAUAGCCGACCUGAGAGGGUGAUCGGCCACACUGGGACUGAGACACGGCCCAGACUCCUACGGGAGGCAGCAGUAGGGAAUCUUCGGCAAUGGACGGAAGUCUGACCGAGCAACGCCGCGUGAGUGAAGAAGGUUUUCGGAUCGUAAAGCUCUGUUGUAAGAGAAGAACGAGUGUGAGAGUGGAAAGUUCACACUGUGACGGUAUCUUACCGGAAAGGGACGGCUAACUACGUGCCAGCAGCCGCGGUAAUACGUAGGUCCCGAGCGUUGUCCGGAUUUAUUGGGCGUAAAGCGAGCGCAGGCGGUUAGAUAAGUCUGAAGUUAAAGGCUGUGGCUUAACCAUAGUACGCUUUGGAAACUGUUUAACUUGAGUGCAAGAGGGGAGAGUGGAAUUCCAUGUGUAGCGGUGAAAUGCGUAGAUAUAUGGAGGAACACCGGUGGCGAAAGCGGCUCUCUGGCUUGUAACUGACGCUGAGGCUCGAAAGCGUGGGGAGCAAACAGG